GACAGAGGAUGCAAGCGUUAUCCGGAAUGAUUGGGCGUAAAGCGUCUGUAGGUGGCUUUUUAAGUCCGCCGUCAAAUCCCAGGGCUCAACCCUGGACAGGCGGUGGAAACUACCAAGCUGGAGUACGGUAGGGGCAGAGGGAAUUUCCAGUGGAGCGGUGAAAUGCGUAGAUAUUGGAAAGACCACCGAUGGCGAAGGCACUCUACUGGGCCAUUACUGACACUGAGAGACGAAAGCUAGGGGAGCAAAUGGG
rnacentral:rRNA from 1 species